AGGUAAUAUAGGCAGCCCCUGUUUUUCACAAAUUCAGAUAAAGAAAAAAAGACAUUAUAAGUGCUUCCCAGAAUUACUUUUCCUUUUUAGUAGUGUUCUUUUCGCUUGGUUAAGUUUUUAUGAUGUAUAAACAUAUGUGUAGCUUAGUUUUUUAGCUUUAAAAUUUUUAAUGUACACAUUAUCUUGUGUGUACAAAUUAAAUUUUACACGGUAUCUUUUCUUCUAGGUGAAGAGAAGAUAGGGAGGAAGAAAUUGAAGGAUGAUGGGAUUAGGAAGGAAGAAAGGGAAAAGAAAAAGGCACAAAAAGAAAAAAGGGGAGGGGGGAAUGUGUGGCGGACAGGAAAUGAACAGGGAGGAAAAUGAGACUGAGGUUUCAACCAAGGCGGUAGGGGGAGGAGGCCAGCCCUGCUAGCUCGUACCGGAUCUUUGUGGGAAUUGCGAACAGGUGGCCCUUCCGCGGGGCCGGUGCAGACCUGGCCAGGGCGCAGCGUGUACCUGAGCUCAGGCUGCCUUCCAGUACCUCCUGCACCCCUGCCCUACUCUGUGCCAACUGAACCUACCCAAAGGCACUAGAAGGUGAGAAAGCACAUAAAGUGAGGUCGAUAUUCUGAAGGAGAAAUACAUGUGGAAGAAACAAAUGUGGAAGAAAAUGGGGACAGUGGGUUCUAUUUACAAGGAGGCAAUGAACUCCCAGGAGAAAAGACACCCAGCGAAUACCUGGUGGAAAGCACCCAGCUAGACUCCUGAAGAGCAGUGCUCCCUUCUUCAACGCGUUGCCUGGCUCUCCAUCCCUCAUCCCUAGUUACCAUGGACGCAUUCUCAGCUGGCUUUCCCAAGAGAAAGGAAAACCCGCCUCUGGCUCCAGAAAUAACCCCUAUUACCCACCAGCUCCAGCCAUGAAAGAAGAGAUUGCCAUCAGGGUAUGACGUCAUUAUAUUCUGCAUUAAUUGGAGCAAAGGAGCAGAGAAGAGGUGAGGUUUUGGGGAAGAAUGCUCAAAGAACUACACCCUUCCUCCUUGAUUGUUUAGAGCAGCCUUGCAAUUAAAUACUAAAAACAUACCAGCUAUAAAUUGUUUGACCAACUCACCAGCUGUGGACUGGAUUGUCACCCCCAAAUUCAUAUGUCGAAGUCCCAACCCCCUCAUGUGACUGAAUUGGAGAUGGGGGCCUUCAAGGCGGUGAUUGAGGUUAAACGAGGUCAUAAGGAUGGCGCCCUGAUCCGAUGGGACUGGUGCCCUUAUAAGAAGAGGAAGAGAUACCAGAGAUCUCUCUCUGCCAUGUGAGGACCCACUGAGAAGGCAGCCAUCUGCAAGUCAGGAAGAAGAGCCCUCACCAGGAUGGGACCAUGCCAGCACCUUGACUGGCAUGGUCUUGGACUUCCAGCCUCCAGAACUGACUAAAAAGCAAAUGUGAUUUUCCAGUCCAGGUAACCUGGCAGCAGUUAGGCGGUGGAGAUGUCCAUCUAGAGCUAAGCUACCACUGCCCUCUGCUGGAGAAGUUUGGAACUGCAGCUUCAAGCGCUGACAACCAGAGAUUCUAAUUGAACAAGGGUCUGGUGCCUGGUGGUCACCCUGGGACUCCCUUUGCUGGCAUUCUUGGAACUCCCUUGGCCCCUCCCCUGGUUGGCAUCUCAGCCUGGGUUUCCCCUGGAAAGCAGAGCCUGAGCCCCAGGUCUGCACGGAGCCAUUCCAGGCUAGAUUCAUGGUGGCAGGGAAGGCGGAGGAGGGUGUAUGAAGGGUGAAUGACAGGAGCCUCAGACGUCUCCAGCUGCUUUCCUAAAGCAUCACCGUGUGCAGACACUGCAUUUCAGGGGCGAGAUAAACAGUCCGUCAGGGGAACCGGACACCUUCCUCCAACACCUGCUGGUUCCAGGCUUUUCCAAGGCAGACUUGUCAUUCGUGGUGAGAACCUGUGGUCUCUGAGAAAAGUGUAAGCAUUUGGAGGCCAAAACAUGCUUCAGCUGUGCUUUAAAGAAAGAAAAUGGGCUUUUUGGAACCCUGGAUCUGAUUUCAUCCAAAAUAACUCCUGAAUACCGACCUACACAGAGACACCGUCAACUUCCACGGACCUACAGAGAAAACAUGGAUUUAAUUCACGUUUUGCUGAGCUAUUCAACUUUGCAAAACUGAUUUAGAAAAUGUGGUCUGAGAAUUUUAAGAAAUUUCUCAUGUCUGUGUCACAAGCCUGGACGGGGUGAGGGUGUGUGUGGGGAAACUGCACCCUGGCUGCAUUCAACUGGACCCGGAAAGUCUCAUGGGAGAUCUACACUGUGCCGGGCAGUGUCCAGGCGCUGAGAAAUAAACAACAGAGGACUGAUGUGGCCCUGUAGGAACGCACACUCUUGUUCGGGGGCAGGGAGCAUGAUACACUAGACUGUGAUUAAAAAGAAUAAUUCAGUGUGCUUCCUGCACAACAGAAGUGUCUACAAAGUGAUGGAAUGUCGCCGUCACCCCAAAGCCAGUAAGAGGGGCAGCAGGGUGGCCUGGGGUAGAGUCCGUGCUCAGAACUGGACCCCCUGGAUUUCAGACCUAGCCCUGCCCCCUACCGGCUGUGUGAUGACAGGCAAGUCACUUAGUAUCUUUGUGUUUUAGUUUCUUUUCUGUAGAAUGGGGUUCAUAAAGCCUAGUGCAUAGAGACUUUAUGAGGAUUCAUGUAUUAACAUCCAGAAAAUGCUUAAACAGUGCCUGGCACAGAGCAAUCACUACAUCAGUCGAAGCACUGAUAAGCUUUAAAUCACACUCCACUUUGAU